CCCCUUCCAUCUGCCGGGUGGGACGCCUAUAUGUGGACCGUCAGCUUGCUGACUAUGGCGAUAAACGGUGGUUGGAAUAAGCGUUGUGGACCCGGGGGCAGUGCCCGGCGCCUCCACCAUAGGGGGGCGAAACAGGCUCGACACGCGUGGUAAAGACCCAUCUUUUGCUCGGCAUGGUUCCGCCGUUAUCGGGCCGUAUCACAAGUGCCAAUGACAAUCAUGAGGCGCUCGCUGUCGCUGCAUAAGCGAUAAGCGCGGUUCGGGGGGCACCGGGCAACAGAAGCCCCCCACU
rnacentral:tmRNA from 1 species